rnacentral:rRNA from 1 species
UCUGCUUCAGAUGACCCUGCGCGUGCUUACCCAUGCAAGUCGACCGUGAAGCCCAGCUUGCUGGUGAUCAGUGGCGACGGGUGAGUAACCACGUGACCAAUCUGCCCCCGCUUUUGGGAUAAGCCGCUGAAAACGGCGGUUUAUUUCUGAUUAUAAGCUCCGAUCCCAUGGCAAGUAGCGGAAAAGAUUUUUUGGUCAGGGAUGAGCUCGCGGCCUAUCAGCUUGUUGGUGAGGUAAUGGCUCACCAAGGCGUCGACGGGUAGCCGGCCUGAGAGGGUGACCGGCCACACUGGGACUGAGACACGGCCCAGACUCCUACGGGAGGCAGCAGUGGGGAAUAUUGCACAAUGGGCGCAAGCCUGAUGCAGCAACGCCGCGUGAGGGAUGACGGCCUUCGGGUUGUAAACCUCUUUUAGCAGGGAAGAAGCGAAAGUGACGGUACCUGCAGAAAAAGCGCCGGCUAACUACGUGCCAGCAGCCGCGGUAAUACGUAGGGCGCAAGCGUUAUCCGGAAUUAUUGGGCGUAAAGAGCUCGUAGGCGGUUUGUCGCGUCUGCUGUGAAAUCCCGAGGCUCAACCUCGGGUCUGCAGUGGGUACGGGCAGACUAGAGUGCGGUAGGGGAGAUUGGAAUUCCUGGUGUAGCGGUGGAAUGCGCAGAUAUCAGGAGGAACACCGAUGGCGAAGGCAGAUCUCUGGGCCGUAACUGACGCUGAGGAGCGAAAGGGUGGGGAGCAAACAGGCUUAGAUACCCUGGUAGUCCACCCCGUAAACGUUGGGAACUAGUUGUGGGGUCCAUUCCACGGAUUCCGUGACGCAGCUAACCGCCAAUUUAG